rnacentral:rRNA from 1 species
AUUGAACGCUGGCGGCAGGCCUAACACAUGCAAGUCGAGCGAGCGGCGGACGGGUGAGUAAUGUCUGGGAAACUGCCUGAUGGAGGGGGAUAACUACUGGAAACGGUAGCUAAUACCGCAUACCAUCAGAUGUGCCCAGGUGGGUUUGGGUAGUAGUGGGGGUAACGGCUCACCUAGGCGACGAUCCCUAGCUGGUCUGAGAGGAUGACCAGCCACACUUGGACUUAGAAACGGUCCAGACUCCGACGGGAGGCAGCAGUGGGGAAUAUGGCACAAUGGGCGCAAGCCUGAUGCAUCCAUGCCGCGUGUGUGAAGAAGGCCUUCGUGGUGUAAAGCACUUUCAGCGUGGAGGCGUUACCCUCAGAAGAAGCACCGGCUAACUCCGUGCCAGCAGCCGCGGUAAUAC